rnacentral:rRNA from 1 species
UACAGAGGUCCCAAGCGUUGUUCGGAUUCAUUGGGCGUAAAGGGUGCGUAGGUGGCAUGGUAAGUCGGGUGUGAAAUCCCGGGGCUCAACCCCGGAACUGCACUCGAUACUACCGUGCUCGAGUACUGGAGAGGAGACUGGAAUUUACGGUGUAGCAGUGAAAUGCGUAGAUAUCGUAAGGAAGACCGGUGGCGAAGGCUAGUCUCUGGACAGUUACUGACACUGAGGCACGAGGCCAGGGGAGCAAACGGG